rnacentral:tRNA from 4 species
AUUUGUAAUCCAAUUUGGACAUUUGAUUUGAAAUCAAAUUGUUUGGUUUUGUUACCAAUACAGAUU